rnacentral:tRNA from 1 species
GGGGGAUUCGUUCAGUGGUAGGACGGGCGUCUCCAAAACGCCGGACGUGGGUUCGAUUCCUACAUCCCCCG